ACAGUAAGGUAACAUACAGCCUUUAACACAUAGGGAGGAGGUGUGUAUCACAGUAAGGUAACAUAAAGCCUUUAACACAAAGGGAGGAGGUGUGUAUCACAGUAAGGUAACAUACAACCUUUAACACAAAGGGAGGAGGUGUGUAUUACAGUAAGGUAACAUACAGCCUUUAACACAUAGGGAGGAGGUGUGUAUCACAGUAAGGUAACAUACAGCCUUUAACACAUAGGGAGGAGGUGUGUAUCACAGUAAGGUAACAUACAGCCUUUAACACAUAGGGAGGAGGUGUGUAUCACAGUAAGGUAACAUACAGCCUUUAACACAUAGGGAGGAGGUGUGUAUCACAGUAAGGUAACAUACAGCCUUUAACACAUAGGGAGGAGGUGUGUAUCACAGUAAGGUAACAUACAGCCUUUAACACAUAGGGAGGAGGUGUGUAUCACAGUAAGGUAACAUACAGCCUUUAACACAUAGGGAGGAGGUGUGUAUCACAGUAAGGUAACAUACAGCCUUUAACACAUAGGGAGGAGGUGUGUAUCACAGUAAGGUAACAUACAGCCUUUAACACAUAGGGAGGAGGUGUGUAUCACAGUAAGGUAACAUACAGCCUUUAACACAUAGGGAGGAGGUGUGUAUCACAGUAAGGUAACAUACAGCCUUUAACACAUAGGGAGGAGGUGUGUAUCACAGUAAGGUAACAUACAGCCUUUAACACAUAGGGAGGAGGUGUGUAUCACAGUAAGGUAACAUACAGCCUUUAACACAUAGGGAGGAGGUGUGUAUCACAGUAAGGUAACAUACAGCCUUUAACACAUAGGGAGGAGGUGUGUAUCACAGUAAGGUAACAUACAGCCUUUAACACAUAGGGAGGAGGUGUGUAUCACAGUAAGGUAACAUACAGCCUUUAACACAUAGGGAGGAGGUGUGUAUCACAGUAAGGUAACAUACAGCCUUUAACACAUAGGGAGGAGGUGUGUAUCACAGUAAGGUAACAUACAGCCUUUAACACAUAGGGAGGAGGUGUGUAUCACAGUAAGGUAACAUACAGCCUUUAACACAUAGGGAGGAGGUGUGUAUCACAGUAAGGUAACAUACAGCCUUUAACACAUAGGGAGGAGGUGUGUAUCACAGUAAGGUAACAUACAGCCUUUAACACAUAGGGAGGAGGUGUGUAUCACAGUAAGGUAACAUACAGCCUUUAACACAUAGGGAGGAGGUGUGUAUCACAGUAAGGUAACAUACAGCCUUUAACACAUAGGGAGGAGGUGUGUAUCACAGUAAGGUAACAUACAGCCUUUAACACAUAGGGAGGAGGUGUGUAUCACAGUAAGGUAACAUACAGCCUUUAACACAUAGGGAGGAGGUGUGUAUCACAGUAAGGUAACAUACAGCCUUUAACACAUAGGGAGGAGGUGUGUAUCACAGUAAGGUAACAUACAGCCUUUAACACAUAGGGAGGAGGUGUGUAUCACAGUAAGGUAACAUACAGCCUUUAACACAUAGGGAGGAGGUGUGUAUCACAGUAAGGUAACAUACAGCCUUUAACACAUAGGGAGGAGGUGUGUAUCACAGUAAGGUAACAUACAGCCUUUAACACAUAGGGAGGAGGUGUGUAUCACAGUAAGGUAACAUACAGCCUUUAACACAUAGGGAGGAGGUGUGUAUCACAGUAAGGUAACAUACAGCCUUUAACACAUAGGGAGGAGGUGUGUAUCACAGUAAGGUAACAUACAGCCUUUAACACAUAGGGAGGAGGUGUGUAUCACAGUAAGGUAACAUACAGCCUUUAACACAUAGGGAGGAGGUGUGUAUCACAGUAAGGUAACAUACAGCCUUUAACACAUAGGGAGGAGGUGUGUAUCACAGUAAGGUAACAUACAGCCUUUAACACAUAGGGAGGAGGUGUGUAUCACAGUAAGGUAACAUACAGCCUUUAACACAUAGGGAGGAGGUGUGUAUCACAGUAAGGUAACAUACAGCCUUUAACACAUAGGGAGGAGGUGUGUAUCACAGUAAGGUAACAUACAGCCUUUAACACAUAGGGAGGAGGUGUGUAUCACAGUAAGGUAACAUACAGCCUUUAACACAUAGGGAGGAGGUGUGUAUCACAGUAAGGUAACAUACAGCCUUUAACACAUAGGGAGGAGGUGUGUAUCACAGUAAGGUAACAUACAGCCUUUAACACAUAGGGAGGAGGUGUGUAUCACAGUAAGGUAACAUACAGCCUUUAACACAUAGGGAGGAGGUGUGUAUCACAGUAAGGUAACAUACAGCCUUUAACACAUAGGGAGGAGGUGUGUAUCACAGUAAGGUAACAUACAGCCUUUAACACAUAGGGAGGAGGUGUGUAUCACAGUAAGGUAACAUACAGCCUUUAACACAUAGGGAGGAGGUGUGUAUCACAGUAAGGUAACAUACAGCCUUUAACACAUAGGGAGGAGGUGUGUAUCACAGUAAGGUAACAUACAGCCUUUAACACAUAGGGAGGAGGUGUGUAUCACAGUAAGGUAACAUACAGCCUUUAACACAUAGGGAGGAGGUGUGUAUCACAGUAAGGUAACAUACAGCCUUCAACACAUAG